rnacentral:rRNA from 1 species
UGAGAGCGGNCGUACGGGUGCGGAACAGUGUGCACUGCCUUUAUCUGGGAGAUAGCCUUUCGAACGAGAUUAAUACCCCAUAAUAUGUUGAUGGCUCAUUCGACUUUGAAACUCCCGGUGGAUAGAGAUGGGCACGCGCAAGAUUAGAUAGUUGGUGAGGUAACGGUCACCAAGUCUACGAUCUUUUAGGGGGCUGAGAGGGUGAUCCCCAAUGUAUGAGAAUGGACCAGAAUCCUUACGGGAGGCAAGCAGUGAGGAAUCAUUGGACAAUGGGUGAGAGCCUGAUCCAAGCAUCCCCGGUGAAGGACGACUUGCCCUAUGGGUUGUCAACUUCUUUUGUAUAGGGAUAAACCUACCCUCGUGAGGGUAGCUGAAUNGUACUAUCACGAAUAACGCAACCGGAUAACUCCUGUGCCCAGCAAGCCGGGUAAUACGGAGGGUGCAAGCGUUCAUCCGGCUUAUUGGAGUUACAAAGGGUCCGUCAAGCGGAUCCUGAAACGCCAGAUGGUGAAAACUCACAAGCUAACAUNUGUGGAAANUGCCACCAGNCUGGACGGGCUCGGAGUCGGGUAGAAGCAUCGGGAACAAACGACAGUAGCA